UACGUAGGGGGGCAAGCGUUGUCCGGAAUUAUUGGGCGUAAAGAGCGUGUAGGCGGCCAGAUAAGUCCGCUGUGAAAUCUCGAGGCUCAACUUCGAGCUGUCGGUGGAAACCAUCUGGCUAGAGUCCGGAAGAGGAGAAUGGAAUUCCUGGUGUAGCGGUGAAAUGCGCAGAUAUCAGGAAGAACACCCGUGGCGAAGGCGGUUCUCUGGGACGGUACUGACGCUGAGACGCGAAAGCGUGGGGAGCGAACAGG
rnacentral:rRNA from 1 species